rnacentral:rRNA from 1 species
CACACGGGGACUGAGACACGGCCCCGACUCCUACGGGAGGCAGCAGCAAGGAAUAUUCCACAAUGGGCGAAAGCCUGAUGGAGCGACGCCGCGUGGAGGAUGACGCCUUUCGGGGUGUAAACUCCUUUUCUCAGUGACGAAGACAGUGACGGUAGCUGAGGAAUAAGCACCGGCUAACUACGUGCCAGCCGCCGCAGUAACAC